ACCCCGGUUUUAUUGCUCUGUGGGCUGCAAUCGAGCUUAGCCUUGUUCAUUUUUUUAUACAACGCCCCGAUAAAAAUAGAAUACGAGUCCUCCCGAUCCAGGCUCAGCGCUGCUCGAAACAAGGAAUACGCGCCCCAAAUAGCGGCAAAAAAGGCUGUAUGGCGCAGUUUUAGGGCAA
rnacentral:sRNA from 2 species